rnacentral:rRNA from 1 species
AUUGAACGCUGGCGGCAGGCCUAACACAUGCAAGUCGAACGAGUGGCGGACGGGUGAGUAAUGUCUGGGAAACUGCCUGAUGGAGGGGGAUAACUACUGGAAACGGUAGCUAAUACCGCAUACCAUCGGAUGUGCCCAGAUGGGAUUAGCUAGUAGGUGGGGUAAAGGCUCACCUAGGCGACGAUCCCUAGCUGGUCUGAGAGGAUGACGAGCAACACUGGAACUGGGUCACGGUCCAGACUCAUACGGGAGGCAGAAGUGGGGAAUAUGGCACAAGGGGCGCAGGCCUGAUGCAGCCAUGCGGGGGGUAUGAAGAAGGCCUUCGGGUUUUAAAGUACUUUAAGCGGGGAGGCGUUACCCGAAGAAGAAACACCGGCUAACCCCGGGCCAGCAGCCGCGGUAAUAC